GUGGACUCUCAAGCGUGAGGUAAGGGCAAUUCGUGGAUGCCUUGGCAUGUACAGGCGAUGAAGGACGUGGCACGCUGCGAUAAGCGUCGGUGAGGUGUGAGCGACCUUUGACCCGACGAUUUCCGAAUGGGGAAACCCACCUAUCCGUUUAAUUAGCUGAGCCGCUGGGCGGCACGCUUCAUGCGUGUCGUCUCGGGGCGCAGGUAGUUAAAUGGACAAGGUAUCUCUUAACUGAAUACAUAGGUUUCGAGAAGCGAACCCGGCGAACUGAAACAUCUCAGUACCCGGAGGAAAAGACAUCAACCGAGAUUCCGUUAGUAGUGGCGAGCGAACGCGGACCAGGC
rnacentral:rRNA from 1 species